rnacentral:rRNA from 1 species
CNGCGACCCCAGGUCAGGCGGGACUACCCGCUGAGUUUAA